GUACUUGGCGGCUCUAAUUAGGUGAUCACACAUCCUUUCCUCUUCUCUUUUGUCUGCAGAGUACUGAGCACACAAGGACUGAAACAGGAAGAGAGAAAGCUCUGUCAGGCACACACACGUGUUAAGGGAAGGAGCAGCACACGUGUAUCUGUGUCUGAAGGCUGACUGGAGGUAGCACAGAGACCCUCCCUAAAGCUCAACUGACACUGGAACUUUGGGCCCAGGAGAUAAAGGGGGCUCUGAAGUUGUCCUUCAGGCCGGUGUCAGGCGGAACACUGCACUUCCCGUCACCUCUGCUUUUCUGCAAAAUGCCACACAGAGUGAAAAUGCGUCAUCACAGUGGCGUAAGGGCAUCUGAAUGUAAACCAGAGGAGUGGCCUGAAAGCCAAAUAAUUCAAUCUGAACUUGACUAUUGGAGAAACAACACAUUUGUUACUUUGGAAAUAAUAAAAAAUAAAAUAAA